UCGGUAUGUACUGGCUUUACUGAUUCCUCCUUCUUGACGAACCGUGAUGUCAUUAAUUUGGUGUUGCGGGAAAUCAGGACUGUUACUUUGAAAAAAUUAGAGUGUUUAAAGCAGGCUAACGCUUGAAUACAUUAGCAUGGAAUAAUGAAAUAGGACGUUAAUCCUAUUUUGUUGGUUUCUAGGAUCGACGUAAUGAUUAAUAGGGAUAGUUGGGGGCAUUAGUAUUCAAUUGUCAGAGGUGAAAUUCUUGGAUUUAUUGAAGACUAACUACUGCGAAAGCAUUUGCCAAGGAUGUUUUCAUUAAUCAAGAACGAAAGUUAGGGGAUCGAAGACGAUCAGAUACCGUCGUAGUCUUAACCAUAAACUAUGCCGACAAGGGAUCGGAUGAUGUUAUUUUUAAUGACUCACUC
rnacentral:rRNA from 1 species